rnacentral:misc_RNA from 1 species
GAAAUGCGAUAAGUAAUGUGAAUUGCAGAAUUCAGUGAAUCAUCGAAUCUUUGAACGCACAUUGCGCCCGCCAGUAUUCUGGCGGGCAUGCCUGUUCGAGCAUCAUUACAACCCUCAGGCCCCCGGGCCUGGCGUUGGGGAUCGGCGGAAGCCCCCUGCGGGCACAACGCCGUCCCCCAAAUACAGUGGCGGUCCCGCCGCAGCUUCCAUUGCGUAGUAGCUAACACCUCGCAACUGGAGAGCGGCGCGGCCACGCCGUAAAACACCCAACUUCUGAAUGUUGACCUCGAAUCAGGUAGGAAUACCCGCUGAACUUAAGC